CGUGUACAUUAAGAUGAAUAUAUACCUACCCAAUUGCAUCCAUGCGCAUAUUGCGUACAUGUAGAAUAUAUCAACAUGGGCGACAUUGAGAAAAUGACUUAUCAGAUGUCGUUAAUUAGUUUGCGACAAGUUAAAUGAGGAAAAUGUGCUACAUAAUUUAAACUAUCCGAGUGUCAGUCACCGUAUCGGCUAACGGCUUAUAGUUAAUUACAGACGUAUUAGAGUAUUAAAGUGAUUAACUAAUUUCAGCGAAAAAUACUCCCAGUGUUAACGAAGAUAAACAAUCAAGUUCUUCUAAUUAGAAAUUUGGAACAGAUUCGUGCGAAUGCUGCCGUUAUUUUACCACCACAAAGAAGUUACAACGACGAGUCUAAAUAUUUUGUUCUUAUAAUUAUAUGGUGCACGGUUUCACCAUAUAAAUGGGAGACGACAACCUUGUACCAGCCUGCGUGAGAGAGUCCAACGCGCGAUUACGUUUCGCGGUCUCGGGUUGCGUGCAAUUUCUUUUUUUCGUGCGUCGAAAACACGGAAAGAAAAGAGUUCUCUGAAUACGCGACAGAAUAAUGCAGCCGUUCUGUGCAAUGCUAAAUACGAAGAUUCAAAGGAAAUUUAAUGGAAUGGAUUACCAUUUAAAUGAAAAGAAAUGAUACGCGAUAUUAAGACUUUAUGUAUCUUAUCUAAAUCUGCACACGCCUGUGUUCUAUUUCAUAUGCAAAUACAGUGUUGUGCUCAACCGAUAUUACGCAUGUACGGGAUAAUUUUGACUAGUUUGUUGAAAAUUCUAAAAGAUUAUUCGUGGUUUUUUGAAACGAAACGAAGAAAAGAGCGACUAAGUAACUAUCUAUUUACUAGUACAGUACGCACCUCGUGAACAAAGAUUAUCCACUUUUACAGUAAUUUGUAGCUGCCGAUGCGCAUGCUGUAUCGCGCAAGAUGGCCGCCAACUCGCGAUCGCUGAUUGGCGAUGGCGGGGCGGGUUAUUUGACCGGCGGUUGGUGGUUCCAGCACAGGCUGGUGCGAGUAAUUUUGAUCGUGAUUAUACUAAUUUCAUAGUAUAUGCCCCUUCUCGGUGGCUUAAGCAUUGGGUGAGUUCACACGAGCAACAGUACAGGACAAGAGUUCCCGUGCUAGAGAAAUCGAACAUCAUUUGUGAGAUUUCUUCCGACGCGUGACAAAGUGAUUUUGUGCAUUGACAUCGGCUGAUCAACAACUGAUUCGCAGAAAAUUUCACGCGGAUGUUCAUCAUCCAUCCGGCCUUGUGGCGAGGAUCUUAAUGGGAUUCGUUAAGAUUCACGAAGAUAAUCGAAGUGGAAGGAAUUAGUUUUGUAAUAGUAACGUUUUUUUUUGGAUUUGUUCAACAAUAAAAGCAUAUCUUGUACAC